rnacentral:rRNA from 1 species
UACGAAGGGGGCUAGCGUUGCUCGGAAUCACUGGGCGUAAAGCGCACGUAGGCGGAUUCCUAAGUCGGGGGUGAAAUCCUGGAGCUCAACUCCAGAACUGCCUUCGAUACUGGGAAUCUUGAGUCCGGAAGAGGUGAGUGGAACUGCGAGUGUAGAGGUGAAAUUCGUAGAUAUUCGCAAGAACACCAGUGGCGAAGGCGGCUCACUGGUCCGGUACUGACGCUGAGGUGCGAAAGCGUGGGGAGCGAACAGG